rnacentral:rRNA from 1 species
UACGAAGGGGGCUAGCGUUGCUCGGAAUUACUGGGCGUAAAGGGCGCGUAGGCGGAUACUUAAGUCGGGGGUGAAAGCCCGGGGCUCAACCUGGGAAUGGCCGUUGAAACUGGCGAACUGGAGUGUGGCAGAGGGGGGUGGAAUUCCGCGUGUAGCAGUGAAAUGCGUAGAGAUGCGGAGGAACACCGAUGGCGAAGGCAGCCCCCUGGGCUGACACUGACGCUCAGGCACGAAAGCGUGGGGAGCAAACAGG